GCAGGCCCGGUCAGCAGUCCCGGCCAACCAGGGCCUGCCACGUGGCAAGAUCGCGUCACUCCGAAAGGAGCCACGUUGGCGAUCCGCGUGGGUGCGAUCCGACGGCCCAGAUCAAUCGCGCGAUCGGACGGCCCAGAUUCAAACGCACGGACGGCCCAGAUUCAAUCAAAAACGAAUGACCCAGAUUAAAACGAAAUGAACGGCUGUGAUCAAAAGGCAAGGGGU
rnacentral:lncRNA from 1 species